ACGGGUGAGUAACACGUAGGUAACCUGCCCGUAAGACUGGGAUAACAUUCGGAAACGAAUGCUAAUACCGGAUACACAACUUGGUCGCAUGAUCGGAGUUGGGAAAGACGGAGUAAUCUGUCACUUACGGAUGGACCUGCGGCGCAUUAGCUAGUUGGUGAGGUAACGGCUCACCAAGGCGACGAUGCGUAGCCGACCUGAGAGGGUGAUCGGCCACACUGGGUCUGAGACACGGCCCAGACUCCUACGGGAGGCAGCAGUAGGGAAUCUUCCGCAAUGGACGAAAGUCUGACGGAGCAACGCCGCGUGAGUGAUGAAGGUUUUCGGAUCGUAAAGCUCUGUUGCCAGGGAAGAACGCUAAGGAGAGUAACUGCUCUUUAGGUGACGGUACCUGAGAAGAAAGCCCCGGCUAACUACGUGCCAGCAGCCGCGGUAAUACGUAGGGGGCAAGCGUUGUCCGGAAUUAUUGGGCGUAAAGCGCGCGCAGGCGGCCUUGUAAGUCUGUUGUUUCAGGCACAAGCUCAACUUGUGUUCGCAAUGGAAACUGCAAAGCUUGAGUGCAGAAGAGGAAAGUGGAA
rnacentral:rRNA from 1 species